AAUUCCGCCUCCGGAUACCUCUGAGUGCAGAGCCAUUGCCGACCCCACCGGAAACACCGCGCCGUCCAUCUUGUUCCUCCCUCACUGGCAAGACCGGAUGGUGUGCACAUGAUGUCUUCCUCCUCCCCCGACUGUUUGGCUGCAGGCACCACAUCUACAUCAAUCUGAUUCAUUGCGUCAGGUGUAGUCAUGAAGUCAAACAUCCGCAACUUGGGAUUGUUCAGGAGGUAAGCCCAUUUUGGUUCAACAUCCAAUCACUAAAUAGGUAUGGACGUGUCAUCAAGACAUGAAGGUGUAUUGCUGGUCUUGUUUCGACAGCUUGAUGUGCUUAUUUGUAGGAGAACUCCAAGGCUAAACAUGGAAAAUAUUAGAAAGACAUACUUAAAUUGAAUUUGUACAAAAAUAGUUUCCUACCAAGCCAAGCCUGCUUAUAUCUGUCGUUGAUAGUAAACAGAGCUCGGCAGCAUUCUGUUGGUACCUCAUAUUACCAUCUACCAUUGUGUAGUGAUAUUCACACUUGACAGUUUAAAUCCCCAUAUGCAAAAAUUAUUGGCAUUAGAUUCAUUUCGACCGGUCAUUCUCUGAAAACAACAACACCAUAAUCCCUAAAUUAAGUCGGGUUAGAACUGUAGAACGACUAGUGUUUCUAUUUGAAGGCAUCUUUGUGCUUCCUUUGUUCUUUGUUGUUUCUCUCUCUUGUGUCGUAUUUUUUUCUUAUCCGAUUUUACAUGUGUACCUAUGAGCAGGAGGAUGGAAAUUCCACCAAAAAUCAGGUGCUUUUAACCGCAUACGACCAUUACUUUCUACUACUUCACCAGCUGCACUACAUCAUAGUCACAACAAUGGUGUAUACAUAUACAGCUCUUGUUAGUAAAUAAAAAUGUGGACUUGAGGAGACAAAAAUAAUAAUGAUGCACACAUAUACAAGUUCUCUUUUAUUUCUGAAAUGGGCAAAGUUUAAGUGCAUCUGCUCAUGAAUUACCCACUAUUUUUAGAAGUCAUUAUUCGAGAAUUAACCUUUGACUCAGAAUAAUUAGAGGCCAAUUUUGCACAAUAUUGUUUGCUUCCAUAGUAACUUGUGUAUUGUUUUGAUUUUACUUUCAGGAUAUGAGUGCAGCAUCAUAGUGGGAUCACGAGGAGCUAGGAAACUAUUGAGUCUAUUUUUUUGCAGUUUGUUUCAGAGAAGCCCAUGUUAGUUUUACAUGGGAUUAUAUUAAGGUCUAUGAAUUGCAAUUGUGCUAUUUUUCAUUAUAAAGGGAAAAAUGAGUGCUGCUUAGGCUCUGCUCAAAA